CUCCCAGAAGUGGCCUUGCACGGCGGCGCUACUUGUGGUGGCGGCUGGAAGCCAGACCCGAUCAAAUCGAAAACCGAAGCUUCGAUCGGUAUAUCUCGAGCUGUAGUGCAUCGUUUUGAUUGAUUCUUUUUCCAGUGGGUUCCCCUUGAUGUUGUUAACAACUCUCUAGAAGGCAUCGAGGCCUGAAAUUGAAGUUUUUACGUCGAUCGGAGCCCUCGCCGGAUUCUGCAAAAUUCUGCAAAUUUUCCGACCACCGAAGCUUUCGAUCGGUAUAUCUCGAGCUACAGACCAUAUUUUUCUGUGAUUCUUGAACCAAUGCGUUCGUCUUGAGUUUCUUAACAACUCUCUAGAAGGAAUCGAAGCCUGAAAUUGAAGUUUUGACGUCGAAAUCAAGCCUUGCCGGAUUCUGCAAAUUUCGCCGGAUUCUGGAAAUUUUCCGGCCACCUCGACUGUUCUAGGUUAUUGACGGUUUGAGUUGGUGGACGAUUGUGGAUCGUAUUUUGAGCUGAAUUGAAGACGCAGCGGGAUUAUCGAGCGGGAAAUCCUACAGGUCAGGAGAACCAGGACGGUGAUCGGGCUGCUUAGAGUAGUGUUAUGUGAAUUACAGCAUUAUAUUGUGAGGUUUGUUAUGCUCAUUUAGAGCUUUGCAAUUUUACUUUGUAAGAGUGAAUUGUAAUAAUUAACUCGAGGUUUUCGAGUUUUUGUGUUGAGUGGCGAGUGGUAUGUUUGUUUGUGAGAAAAAAAUUCAGAACGUUAUUUGUAUUAAUUGUUUAUUCAUGUUUCGGAUUUGAAUUGGUUAUUCAAAAUUCGGGGCGUGACAGUUUGGUAUCAGAGCGUAAGGUACAUAUUUGGUGACGUGUCAAUACCUUCCGAGUGAUGGCCCGUCUGCAGCGGAUCCCCAUCGUGCGCUCUUCGGUAUUGGCUAAGUCAUUGGGUAUGUGUGAGUGUUGGAAGUUGUUUAGGCCGCUAAGUCGUUUUAGGAACGUUAACACCUUCCCUGUAGUAUUGACUUGGUUAAUAUGGACUUGUAUUUGACUUAUACUGUGUUUUAAGUGUUAUACGUGUAUUAGCCAAGCAUACUAUAUUUCUUAGGUGUUGAAUAUUCGAAGGAGUAGUACUUAGAACUACAGAGUUGUCUUGUAGGUUCGUAUUUGAAUAAGUUCAGUUACCGCGAGUUAUAAUCUUUAAGGGAUGGAAACCUUCGGAUUUAACUCUAUUGAGUUAGGGUGAUUGUUUUAUGGAAGUGAGGUUCUUUUGGAUGUUGAGGUGUUUGGUUGAAGGCAUGAUGUUGGCCUAUGCACGUACCUAGUGUGGAUACGAGUAUGAAUUGAUGGAAUUUUUGCCUUAUUAGGUUGGAUAUACAGAUGUUUUUGAUUUGAUUCUUGACUCAUGUGGAGUGGUGGGUAGUAUUGCGGUUUGGGAAUGAAUUAUUGUGGUUAAUUCUUCCAUGUGUUUGUAAGUUGAUGAGCAGGGUUUAAGUUGUGAGAAAGGAGUUUGAUCUCGUGUUUGAGUGAUUGAGACGAACGACUAUAUAUUUGAGGUUGUUUUGUGUUUUAAGUUUAUGUAGACGGGACACUUAAAGUUUUGAAAUAGAGUUUGAUUUUUAGUUGAUAGAUAAUGGGGAGAAUUAGAAUCAACUCUUUGUUAAUGAUCUUGGACGAGAGUGUGUUUCUAUGGUUAUGGAUUUUAGGUGAAAUGGUUAAAUACAAUUUUGGGUAUUGAUGAUAGUGACAUGAUUGGGUAUCCAUAGUGGUUCAAGUGAAUUACUAUGCGGUAUGGAGUUGAUUCGACGUAUGAAUCGUGAAAUCUUAGGGUUGAAUUAUGGUAAGUUUGAUGGAGCAUGUUUUAGAGGGAAUGGUUGAGAUUUUAUAAGACUAGCACGAGUAACUCUAAGGAUGUGAGUUUUCCUAGUUAACUCAGGAAGUGUUUAGCUUUAUUAAUCCCUAAUUCUAGCGACGAAAUUAUUGUGUUUGGUUUGACUCAGAGGAUACUAGCUUGACCUCUGUGCAACUUAAUUGAUUGUUUGUGAUAAAUCAUUAUGAAAGAUGUGUGCAGUAGAGUUGUUUAUGGUUUUGAAAACAGUAUUGGGUGACCAAGGUUCGAUCCUUGGUGUUGUUGU